UUGAACGCUGGCGGCAGGCCUAACACCUGCAAGUCGAGCGGAUGAAGGGAGCUUGCUCCUGGAUUCAGCGGCGGACGGGUGAGUAAUGCCUAGGAAUCUGCCUGGUAGUGGGGGAUAACGUCCGGAAACGGGCGCUAAUACCGCAUACGUCCUGAGGGAGAAAGUGGGGGAUCUUCGGACCUCACGCUAUCAGAUGAGCCUAGGUCGGAUUAGCUAGUUGGUGGGGUAAAGGCCUACCAAGGCGACGAUCCGUAACUGGUCUGAGAGGAUGAUCAGUCACACUGGAACUGAGACACGGUCCAGACUCCUACGGGAGGCAGCAGUGGGGAAUAUUGGACAAUGGGCGAAAGCCUGAUCCAGCCAUGCCGCGUGUGUGAAGAAGGUCUUCGGAUUGUAAAGCACUUUAAGUUGGGAGGAAGGGCAGUAAGUUAAUACCUUGCUGUUUUGACGUUACCAACAGAAUAAGCACCGGCUAACUUCGUG
rnacentral:rRNA from 1 species